GCUGCGGGGAAGAAAUGGGGGAUUUGGGUGAAAUGAGAUGCCUCCAUCCUGCCCCACCGGCUCAAAGCUGCCGGAGCAACGUCCUGCAGAGAUCCACCCCAUUGGGGAAGGUGCUGACAACGUGACACCUCACACUUGCCCGAGCAUGGAUGGCCAGGAAAACCAUAAGUAAGACAUCUCAAUGAACCCUUCUUAAAUUUGGGGGGGCAAAGUGGGGGGCAAUCCUGCUAAAAAUCAGAAGAGCAGAGACCUUCCCGCAUUGGAGGACAGAGGGAUGGAUGAGACCAUGGACCGGAUUUACGUGGCAAGGUUUUGGGCGGGAGGGGGCUGCAGAAGUGACCUCUGUGACAAGAGUCAUUGGGCUGCUCCACACUGGACACAGGUAGGUCCAGCUGGCUUCAAAAUGGAAUCACCGCUGGCCAAACCUGAGCCCAUCAGUGACGCUGGUGGUGCCUCUGUGGUAACGUAUUCAAGAAAGGCUAAAAAAUGCUGUGAGAGAGAGGAAUGAGAAAAAUGUGAGAGAAACAACCCUGCGGACACCAAGGUCAGUGAAGAAGGAGGGCGAGGAGGUACUUCAGGGGCUGGAGAAGAGGUUUCCCUUACAGCCCAUGGAGAGUCCAUGCUGAAGCGGGUUGAACCUGAAGGACUCCAGCCCAUGGGAAGGACCCACGUUGGAGCAGGUUCAUCCCGAAGGACUCCAGCCCGUGGGAAGGACCCAGUUCAUGAAGGACUAGAUCCCAUAGUUGUUAGGAACUGACCACAGCCCCCAUUCCCCUACGCCUUCUCAGGGGAGAAGAAGGUAGAAGAGUCAGGAGUGAAGCUGAGGCUGGGGGGGAAGGUGUUUCUAGUUUUCUCUGUUUCUCUCCAUCCUACUCUAUUUUUAAUUACCAAUAAAUUUAAUUAAUCUCCUCCAA